rnacentral:rRNA from 1 species
UACGUAGGCAGCGAGCGUUGUUCGGAAUUACUGGGCGUAAAGAGUGUGUAGGCGGUGCUCUAAGUUCGGUGUGAAAUCUCCCGGCUUAACUGGGAGGGUGCGCCGGAAACUGGAGUGCUCGAACGUGGGAGAGGAAAGCGGAAUUCCUGGUGUAGCGGUGAAAUGCGCAGAUAUCGGGAAGAACACCCGUGGCGAAGGCGGCUCUCUGGGACGGUACUGACGCUGAGACGCGAAAGCGUGGGGAGCGAACAGG